UGUGGGAAUUUUGUGUUUAUUGUUUAAGUUGGAAAAGUUGGUGAUAUAGGCUGUUCUUGAUUUUUUGUGUUAUAGUUUCAGAAAUCGUAGAGUUUCAUUACUGUUAUAUUUUUUGUGUAUACUGUUUACAAUGAUCAAGCUAUAAGCUCUACACUUAUUAAUCAUUCUUGGUAUUGGUUUUGUGUGCAUUUUUCGUAUCUUGAAUCUCGACGCUGUAGUUUAUUCUUCAUGAAUUAAUGCACUUAUGUAUGUAAAGGCAUUUGAAAAGUGGACUCGCUUAGGGAAAUAAGCAGCCUCAUUUGAUUGCAUGUGGACUAUUGUUCUUUAACUGCUACUCUUGAGAUUUUGUCAUCAAUGUUGUUUAUUGUCUUCUUGAACAAGUUAGUGCUUUUGUUUUGCUGUCAAAAUGCAGGGAAAACAGGUGAUGUCUGAGUUGGAUUUUGCUGCUGAAAUUCUCCCAAACUGUAUCAAGAUCUUAGCAGUGACAGGGACUAAUGGAAAGUCAAUUGUUGUCACUUUUGCUGGACAGAUGCUUAAUCAUUUGGGUAUCAACACAUUUUUAGGGGGGUAAUCUUGGAAAUCCACUCUCAGAGGCUGCUUUCCAGUGCUUACAGAACCCCCUUCUAAAACCAAAGUUUAAGAUAUCGCUACAUUUUUCUGGGUUGCUGUGGUGGAGGUUAGCAGUUACCAAAUGGAAAUUCUCAGCAAGUACUUCUGCCCUUCUGUAGCUGUAGUGUUAAACCUUACACCUGAUCAUUUAGAAAGGCACAGGACAAUGAGAGACCAUGCAGUGACUAUGCUUGAGUGUUGAGUGUUUGACAGUUUGAGAGUUUUGCGUGUUUGAUAGUUUAAUGCUUUCAUCAGUUUCAUCUUUCAUGCUUUGAUAGUUUGGGAGUUUGCAGGAAAUUGCUAAUUUGCUAUGCAUGAUGUUGAUUGUUGAAUAUGUAGAUUGUAGAUAAUGUUGAGUUUGAAUGACUGAAUAGACUGUGCAAUAUUGAAUCAUUUGAAUGUAUGUAUGGA